rnacentral:lncRNA from 1 species
CCCAUUGAGUUAUGGGUCCCAAUGGGUUGACCUGGUCAACAUUGCCAUGGGUCGCAGUGGGUUGAGCUGGCAGACAUCCCCAUGGAGCAGUGGGGUGUUCUCUAUGGGUUGACCAAGCCAACAUCUCUAUGGGAUUUCCCCACGGAGUCUGGGUUCACGUUGGGGCUCACGUUGGGGUUCACGUUGGCGUUGUUGGGGUUCAUUUUGGGGUUCACGUUGGCGUUGUUGGGGUUCACGUUGGGGUUCGUGUUGGGGUUCAUGUUGGCGUUCACAUUGGUGGUGUUGGUGUUCACGUUGGGGUUCACGUUGGGGUUCACGUUGGGGUUCAUGUUGGGGUUCACAUGGGCGUUGUUGGGGUUCAUGUUGGGCUUCAUUUUGGGGUUCACGUUGGCGUUGAGGUUCACAUUGGGGUUCACGUUGGGCUUCCUCUUGGGGUUCACUUUGGGGUUCACAU